UGGUGGAGUGAUUUGUCUGGUUAAUUCCGAUAACGAGCGAGACCUCAGCCUACUAAUUAGUUGGAGGAAUUCUCGGAUUCCUUUUACAGCUUCUUAGAGGGACUAUUGGUGUAUAGCCAAGGGAAGUCUGAGGCAAUAACA
rnacentral:rRNA from 1 species